rnacentral:rRNA from 1 species
GACGAACGCUGGCGGCGUGCUUAACACAUGCAAGUCGAACGGAAAGGCCCUGCUUUUGUGGGGUGCUCGAGUGGCGAACGGGUGAGUAACACGUGAGUAACCUGUCCUUGACUUUGGGAUAACUUCAGGCAACUGGGGCUAAUACCGGAUAGGAGCUCCUGCUGCAUGGUGGGGGUUGGAAAGUCUCGGCGGUUGGGGAUGGACUCGCGGCUUAUCAGCUUGUUGGUGGGGUAGUGUCUUACCAAGGCCUUGACGGGUAGCCGGCCUGAGAGGGUGACCGGCCACAUUGCGACUGAGAUACGGCACAGACUACUACGGGAGGCAGCAGUGGGGAAUAUUGCACAAUGGGCGGAAGCCUGAUGCAGCAACGCCGCGUGCGGGAUGACAGCCUUCGGGUUGUAAUCCGCUUUCGCCUGUGACGAAGCGUGAGUGACGGUAAUGGGUAAAGAAGCACCGGCUAACUACGUG